UGGGGAAUAUUGCACAAUGGGGGAAACCCUGAUGCAGCGACGCCGCGUGAGCGAAGAAUGUUUUCGAAUCGUAAAGCUCUGUCCUAUGGGAAGAUAAUGCCGGUACCAUAGUAGGAAGCCCCGGCUAACUACGUGCCAGCAGCCGCGGUAAUACGUAGGGGGCAAGCGUUCUCCGGAAUCACUGGGCGUAAAGGGUUCGCAGGCGGAAAUGCAAGUCAGUUGUGAAAGGCAGAGUCUCAACCGCUGUAAGCAAUUGAAACUGUAUUUCUUGAGAUGUGGAGAGGCAAGUGGAAUUCCUAGUGUAGCGGUGAAAUGCGUAGAUAUUAGGAAGAAUAACGGUGGCGAAGGCGACUUGCUGGACACAAACUGACGCUGAGGAACGAAAGCGUGGGUAGCAAACAGG
rnacentral:rRNA from 1 species